rnacentral:rRNA from 1 species
AUUGAACGCUGGCGGCAUGCCUUACACAUGCAAGUCGAACGGCAGCAUGACCUAGCUUGCUAGAUUGAUGGCGAGUGGCGAACGGGUGAGUAAUACAUCGGAACGUGCCCUGUAGUGGGGGAUAACUAGUCGAAAGAUUAGCUAAUACCGCAUGCGACCUGAGGGUGAAAGUGGGGGACCGCAAGGCCUCAUGCUAUAGGAGCGGCCGAUGUCUGAUUAGCUAGUUGGUGAGGUAAAGGCUCACCAAGGCGACGAUCAGUAGCUGGUCUGAGAGGACGAUCAGCCACACUGGGACUGAGACACGGCCCAGACUCCUACGGGAGGCAGCAGUGGGGAAUUUUGGACAAUGGGGGCAACCCUGAUCCAGCAAUGCCGCGUGUGUGAAGAAGGCCUUCGGGUUGUAAAGCACUUUUGUCCGGAAAGAAAUCGCACUUACUAAUAUUAGGUGUGGAUGACGGUACCGGAAGAAUAAGGACCGGCUAACUACGUGCCAGCCGCCGCGGUAAUAC